AAUAGAUACCCGGUAGUCCAUGCCGUAAACGUUGGGCGCUAGAUGUGGGGACCAUUCCACGGUUUCCGUGUCGCAGCUAACGCAUUAAGCGCCCCGCCUGGGGAGUACGGCCGCAAGGCUAAAACUCAAAGGAAUUGACGGGGGCCCGCACAAGCGGCGGAGCAUGCGGAUUAAUUCGAUGCAACGCGAAGAACCUUACCAAGGCUUGACAUAUACGAGAACGCUCUAGAAAUAGAGAACUCUUUGGACACUCGUAUACAGGUGGUGCAUGGUUGUCGUCAGCUCGUGUCGUGAGAUGUUGGGUUAAGUCCCGCAACGAGCGCAACCCUCGUUCUAUGUUGCCAGCGGUUCGGCCGGGAACUCAUAGGAGACUGCCGGGGUCAACUCGGAGGAAGGUGGGGAUGACGUCAAAUCAUCAUGCCCCUUAUGUCUUGGGCUUCACGCAUGCUACAAUGGCCGGUACAAAGGGCUGCAAUACCGUAAGGUGGAGCGAAUCCCAAAAAGCCGGUCUCAGUUCGGAUUGAGGU
rnacentral:rRNA from 1 species